CUCCUCUCCCCACCGCGCUUCCAUCAGGCUCCAACUCUGCCCUCUUCCCAAGAGCCUCAGAUUGAAACCUUGCAAGGAAGACACCGAUUUCUCAGUCACAGGCUUGGUAACCCGAGCGGCAAAGAACAAAUACCCACCAGAACGGAUAACUUGGAUGUGGAAAGUCCAGAUUUUGGAUGAAUCUCUCUAGAGGUUGAACAGGACAUGAGGCCACAGACUGCAGUGCCCGUGAACAGAGGAGCUGUGGAGAUGGAAGUUUGAUCGGUCCCUUCAAACGCACACUCCGGUGCAUGUGCGCCUCUUCUGAUGCAGCGCCCCAAUGGAGCUGGGGCUGGAUCCCUCAGCAACGAGGAGACCUGAAAACCAGAGGAAAAAAAGCAGACUUCUCUCUGCUACGGAUUUCUAACUUAACAAGAAAGGCAACUUUUCAUCAAAAAGGGCAAAGAACAGAGGGGACAGUAGAGGGCACCUUCAAACCCAGCAUGGAAAUAAGGUUCCUGCUUCGAAAUGAAGCAUCACAGCAAGCUCAGGUUUUUGAUUUGGGCCCUCAUUUCUCUUAUAAUUUGAACUUGUAUUAGAGAGAAAGGGCCUGUUUCUUAAGCCAGCCGGUUUUCAUACUGGAUAUUUAUAUAUCAUUUCAUUUGUUCCUAAGUGUAUUUCUCAUUUCUGUUAUGAUUUGUUCUGUGGGUUGUCAGUGACUUAGCGGUAUGUUUUUCACAUGUUUAUAAAGCUGAAUAGUUCUGUGUGUCAGCUCAGCACCCCUAGUGUCAGCCAUGCUCCUCUCCUGCUGUGCAUAGAUAGGGUCUGUCUACACCCGAAUCUCCUGGGUUCCCGCUGUCAGCACCUGAAGGUACCCACCAGAUGUGUCUGUCACUUCCCUCCGUCCACCUCUCUUGUGGUUCUCGUAUUUCUGCCUCCCCAGAGACCAUUUCUCUCUAGAGCAGUAGUUUCCAGUAGAAAUACAAUGCCAGACACAUAGUCAUUUUAG